UUCGCAAUGCCCGAAAGGGUGACGAAGCGACGCCGCGUGUGGGAAGAAGGCCUUCGGGUUGUAAACCACUGUCAGGAGUUAAGAAGUGUAAGGGUGCGAAUAGCGCCUUUACUUGACUAAGGCUCCAGAGGAAGCCACGGCUAACUCUGUGCCAGCAGCCGCGGUAAUACAGAGGUGGCAAGCGUUGUUCGGAAUUAUUGGGCGUAAAGAGCACGUAGGCGGUUCUGCAAGUCAGCUGUGAAAGCCUUCCGCUCAACGGAAGAACAGCAGUUGAUACUACAGGACUAGAGUGCGGGAGGGGAGAGUGGAACUUCUGGUGGAGCGGUGAAAUGCGUAGAUAUCAGAAGGAACACCGGCGGCGAAAGCGACUCUCUGGCCCGUAACUGACGCUGAGUGUGCGAAAGCUAGGGGAGCAAACGGGAUUAGAUACCCCGGUAGUCCUAGCCGUAAACGAUGGGCACUAAGUAGAGGGGUUUU
rnacentral:rRNA from 1 species